CCGUCAAUUCCUUUGAGUUUUAACCUUGCGGCCGUAGUCCCCAGGCGGUAGACUUAUCGCGUUAGCUUGGACACCGAAAGCGAUUAAGCUUCCGACGCCUAGUCUACAUCGUUUAGGGCUAGGACUACCGGGGUCUCUAAUCCCGUUUGCUACCCUAGCUUUCGCGUCUGAGUGUCAGGAAUGGUCCAGGAGGCCGCCUUCGCCACCGGUGUUCCUCCAGAUAUCUGCGCAUUCCACCGCUACACCUGGAAUUCCACCUCCCUCUACCAUCCUCUAGUUCUGUAGUUUAGAACGGCCUCUCCCAGUUGAGCCAGGAGCUUUCACGCCCUACUUACAGUACCACCUACACGCGCUUUACGCCCAGUAAAUCCGGAUAACGUUUGCCUCCUACGUGUUACCGCGGCUGCUGGCACGUAGUUAGCCGAGACUUAUUCUGGAAGUACAUUCCUUCCUAUUCCUUCCAAAAAGUGCUUUACGACCCGAAGGCCUUCUUCGCACACGCGGUGUUGCUAGAUCAGACUUUCGUCCAUUUCUAAUAUUCCCUACUGCUGCCUCCCGUAGGAGU
rnacentral:rRNA from 1 species